UAAAAAUUAAUUAAUAUAAUAAUAUGGCUUAUUACGAACAGAAACCUAAAAAACAAAAACUGAAUCACUAUCUUGAACCUAACAUUACGAGUAGUGGCGGGUAUACUUCAUUUAAACACAUUACGGCUAAUAGCAACCAAAAUGAGCCUAAUAACUUUUUCGACAGACUGAACGUUUAUUGUAUUUAUGAAAUACUCAAACAGAUUAAAAUCGAAUGUGAAUCAUCAAAAAUACCGAUUAGAUCGGAUGAAGUGAAAUACAAAGAUCUCAUUAAUUUUGCGAUUGCUUUUGAAUGUAUUCGCGAUUCGUUUUCGGAAUGGAACCCCAAACUUUACGAAAGCCUUGAAAUUGAAACAAUUAUUUAAGUGAAUCUAAGGAAGUCAUCGUUAAUUUUGUAAAGCUUCAUGAACGUCUUCGCGAAUCAACGGAAAAGGACAAAGAAGCAUUUUGGAAAAUGUAUACGUAUGCAUUUAAAUCGAAUAGAAAGUUACAAAGAGUCGAAUUUAUAUACAGGGAUAAUGAUACAUAUUGCAGUGAACAUAUGGAAAGAUUUGAGCAACUCAUAGGUGCACUUAAGAACAGAUCUAUGGAGAGUUUAAUUAUUGAUAUGAAAGGCUAUUCUGUUAGAUACUUGGAAGAAUUCCCUAAAGUUGUGCAUCUCUGUUUGUACAAUGUACAAAUUAAUGCUGAUGAGUUGGUCGAGUAUUGCAAGUCAAAUCCAAACCUGACAUACUUAGCGAUUAUAAGUAAUGAAAUUUACGGAAAGUUAACUGACAUUGUACCAUAUUGCAACAAAUUGAAGAUACUUUCAUUUAAGGCAAAAAGUUACUUUAAUGACUCUGAAUAUACUGAGUUUGCCAAAUUGCCAAAUUUAUGUAUUUACGAAUAAAAGGAGAACAUGAAAAUGAUUCCACGGAAACUGAGCUAAUCGAUGAUCCGCCACCUUUUGAUUUUCCAUUGGAUUAUCAAUUGCCUCAAAUCAAUGAAUUAACCACAAGAAAGCGCGAAGACGGAUCUCUGACAAAUUUGUUCCGUGCAUUUGCAUUGCAAGAAGACACACAACUUAGUCACUUAAAAAUAACGAGUUUCCAUCUCUACUUCGAAGAGAUUUCGGAAAUUGCCAAAAUAAAAUCUUUAACCGAUUUUUCUUGUGAAUUUGAUCACCUCACAUGGCUUAGGGGCGAUAGUUUUAUGGAAAUUUUUAAUCUUUUCAUAGCACGUAAUAUAAAAUGCAGUAUAAAUUUUUUAAAUGAUGGCAUAAGCAUUGAAUGCGGUUUGGGAGAACUAAAAAUUGAUAUGGAGAAUAAAAAAUGUCCUGCAGAUUUAACACCUUUAGCAAAUUUGCCCAAUAUUGCUUUGUCUGCAUUUAUAUGGAAAUGAUGAAAACUCCUUAAACCUGAUGAAAGCAUUUUCCUCCAAACAAUCUACGAUUCUUCAAAAAUUGAUCAUAUGUAAUGCAUCUUAUAACGAGAUUGAACAAAUUUCUCAAAUUAAAACAUUAAGAUAUAUAAAAACUGCGUUCUCCGAUCCUCAAAGCAUUAAUAUUUUAGCAAAUUUGCCUAAUCUUGAAAUAUUGGAAAUUAAUUCACAACACGAGUUUCGUGAUACAUCGAAAUAUGUUAUAAAUGUUCUUAUGGGAGGUGCAAAUGAAAUAUGUGUUAUUCAAAAUGACCAACAUAUCAAGUUUAAUAAAAGUCUGGGUAAACUGACAAUUUUGUACGACCCUUUUAACUAUUUAAGCUUCGAUGAAAGAUCAUUUAAAUAUUUAUUUCAAGCAUUUGCCGCAAAAAAGUGUUCAGAUCUUCAGGAAAUAAUCGUGGAUGGUAAAAUUGACAUUAACCUUGAGCAAACGAAAGAAUUAACCAAAAUAUUAUCUCUAAAAAAACUAAAAUGCGGCUUUUCAGAUGAGAAUAGCGUUGAGCUCUUGGCGCAGCUAACAAACCUUAAAGAACUCGUGAUAUUAAAUCAUAAAGAACGUUCCCUAAAUCAGUUCCUCCAGACUCUAGUCUCGCGAGAAUCGUCGUGUCUUCAAUGUUUGACCAUAAAAGAAAGGCACUUUCUUCUGAAGAAACAGCUCUAGUUGCAAAAGUUAAAUCAUUAAAGAAAUUAGAAUGUGGAUUCGAUUAUGAAGAAGCUAUUGAAAAACUGGCUCAAUUGAAUCAACUCGAAGAACUAGUUAUAAAUCGUAUUGAAAAGAAAUCAAAGCAGCUUUUUCAGAUAUUGACUUCUAGCGUACCACAAACUCUUCAUCAUUUGAGUAUACAAUUCACAUCAUUAUCAUAUAACAAAACUUUGGCUGUUGUAGGAAUUAAAUCCCUACGAAGUUUGCAUUGUAAAUUCGCUGAUAUUAAUAGCAUAGAACUAUUAGUUGAACUACCAGAGCUUGAAAAACUCUCUAUUAGAUUUAUUUGGUCAUUUCAUAGUAAUAACGAAAGCAUUAAAAGCCUGGCAAAGUUAAAUAAGUUAACUCAUCUUGAAAUUACAUCAUUCUAUUACUGCAAUCUUACGAAGCUUUUUGCAGAAAUAUCGUCAAGGUCAUCGCCGAUCCUACAAAACUUGGUCAUUAAUGGAUUUGAUGUUGAUGAAGACGAUAUUCAAGAAAUUAUAAAAAUUACUUCACUUCGAAGACUUAAAUGUGGAUUCAGCCAAAUCGAAAGCUACCAAUAUAUUAACAUAUUUAAAAAAUCUAGAAGUGCUUGAAAUACUUUCGAGGUAUAGAUUUGAUGAUAUAUCGCAAAGCCUUUUAGCGAUUUUUCAAGAGUGUCGCAAUCUAAAAGCUAUAGAUAUUUAUAGGCGCAAUGUUUAUUCACGCGUUAGUCUGGAAUUUGUUAAUGAAGCUUUAAAGAUCCUAAAAGCAGUAAGAAAUCCCGAGGAACAAGGUCCAUUAGAGUUGCGUCUUAACUCAUUUCGAGGUUUCUGGCCUGAGCUUGCUGAUGAAGUAUAUUUGAAAAUGUCUGAUUUUGAUUAUGAUGAUCCUGAUACUGACACUGAUACUGAUUCUGAUACUGAUACUGAUACUGAUGCUGAUGCUGAUGCUGAUGCUGAUGCUGAUGCUGAUGCUGAUGCUGAUGCUGAUGCUGAU